UACGUAGGGGGCAGGCGUUGUCCGGAUUUAUUGGGCGUAAAGAGCGUGUAGGCGGCCAGGUAGGUCCGCUGUGAAAACUCGAGGCUCAACCUCGAGAUGUCGGCGGAAACCAUCUGGCUAGAGUCCGGAAGAGGAGAGUGGAAUUCCUGGUGUAGCGGUGAAAUGCGCAGAUAUCAGGAAGAACACCCGUGGCGAAGGCGGCUCUCUGGGACGGUACUGACGCUGAGACGCGAAAGCGUGGGGAGCGAACAGG
rnacentral:rRNA from 1 species